GACGAAACGGCUAAGCGGUCCCAGACGCUGGUUUUCGGCACCAGUCCCUUCGGGGACGUGGGUUGGAAUCCCACUAUCGUCA
rfam:Angiostrongylus costaricensis strain Costa Rica genome assembly, scaffold: ACOC_scaffold0000248